GCUCUGGUAGCUCAGCUGGAUAGAGCACUUGACUACGAAUCAAGGGGUCGGGGGUUCGAAUCCUCCCCAGAGCGCCA
rnacentral:tRNA from 1 species